rnacentral:miRNA from 1 species
GCAAGGUUGUUCCAACAAGUCCGAUGCAGUCAUGACAUAACAAUAUUGUUACAACCUUGAACCUUGUGUCAUCAACCUUGUAACAUUCUUGUUAUAUCAUGACUGUAUCAGACUUGCUGGAACAACCUUGU